GACGAACGCUGGCGGCGUGCCUAAUACAUGCAAGUUGAGCGCUGAAGGUUGGUACUUGUACCCACUGGAUGAGCAGCGAACGGGUGAGUAACGCGUGGGGAAUCUGCCUUUGAGCGGGGGACAACAUUUGGAAACGAAUGCUAAUACCGCAUAAAAACUUUAAACACAAGUUUUAAGUUUGAAAGAUGCAAUUGCAUCACUCAAAGAUGAUCCCGCGUUGUAUUAGCUAGUUGGUGAGGUAAAGGCUCACCAAGGCGAUGAUACAUAGCCGACCUGAGAGGGUGAUCGGCCACAUUGGGACUGAGACACGGCCCAAACUCCUACGGGAGGCAGCAGUAGGGAAUCUUCGGCAAUGGACGAAAGUCUGACCGAGCAACGCCGCGUGAGUGAAGAAGGUUUUCGGAUCGUAAAACUCUGUUGGUAGAGAAGAACGUUGGUGAGAGUGGAAAGCUCAUCAAGGGACGGUAACUACCCAGAAAGGGACGGCUAACUACGU
rnacentral:rRNA from 1 species